CAAGUCCAUUGCAUCACAUCCGAGUGAGCUAUCUGAGGGUGUGUGACUGAGUGUGUGCGUGUUUUUUUCUUCUUUUUCUUCCAUUUCAUAUGUUUAGUCAGAUCAGGAAGUGUGAUGCUAUAACAGAAGAGGAGGAGGAAGGGGCACACAAUGGCACUAUGUCUGCUUUGCGGCCUUGUAACAUGAGAGGCCCCCGGCUGAAGACCCUUUUGUUUCUUCUUCUUCUGCUGCUGACCGCUCUGACACACACAGGGUUGUGUGAAGAUGAAGACGGUUCAGAGCCAGAAGAAGUGCCAGAAGGGAGACAGGUGACCUAGAACCACCUGUGGGUGGUGACACAGAACUGCUCCCAGCUGAUCCUGAUGCCACCUCGCCAUCGGAAAACCCCACCACAGUGAACACAGAUGGAAACCCCACAGAUGAUGAACCUGAAGGCUCAGGAGACGAGGGCACCACCAUUUCAGAUACAACCUCCUCACCAAACUUGGAUGAUGUUUUGAAUCCCAUCAUCAUCCUGAUCCCUGUGGUGCUGGCGGUCGUCAUUAUCGGCAUGAUAGUCUGCGGUAUUUUCUUCAACCGCAGGUGGAACAACAAAGCCAGAAAUCAAGAGCUGAGGAAAGAGGAUCCAUAUUUGGAUGGUCCCAGUACAGAAAAGGUGCCAAUGCCCAUGUUUGAAGAGGAUGUCCCCUCAGUCCUGGAGUUAGAGAUGGAAGAGUUGGAGUGGAUGAAAAAGGAUGGUGACACUGCAGAGGACUCUAAACAAGCAUGAAUCUAUGUUAUGGUUAGGACACUCUCCCCCAGUAUGCAAGGACACACAGCCAACAUGCUUCGCUGCCAACUUGGAGUGUCCAACCUUCAAACAACAUCUGUGACCACAGGAACUAAUCUGAUUGCCAGGAAAUGACAUCAUUACAUUUAAAGGACUCUCACAAUGGACAGCGACGUGCAAAAAUCAGACUGAAACCUGUUACAGAGUGCCUCCAAAGUGAUCCUUUUUUUGCCUUUUAUGUAUUGUUUUUGGCAUGCUUUGCCUAUUAUUAUUUUUUAUUGAAAUUGUGUGAAUUUUUAGCAAUAGUCAGUCAUUCCAGGUAAAUGCACAGAACGUUCUGUCCCAUUAAUGAUACAAAUUGAAAAGCAUUACCUUUAACAACACAGUGCAGCAGCUACUAUAACCCCUUUUCUGCUAAUGCUCUUACUGCCAAAGAGAUUGUUAUUGUCCUAAAGUGCAUUAGGGCAAUGCUGAACCCCUCCCUGCACAUACAGCUAUGACUACUCAUAGUUUCUGCUGGUAGUUUCUCUUUGUUGUGUUUAAACUGUGCGACUGCCUCCAGCUGCAGGUGUUAUGGGGAAAUAUCCUGUUGAAGAUUGCAGGCAUGCAUGACAGAGAAGGCCUCUCCUUUUCACGCCUGGACACGGCUUAUUGAGAAACUGUUGUGCUUUUCCUAAACAGAAAUCUCAAAGUGUGAAAUCAGUUGGAUUCUAUUGCUGCGUCUUUUGAUAAAUUCUUUGCUUGUUGCUGAAGCAGCUUUUCUUAAAGCUGCUGCCGCUGAUAAGAUUGUCAUCUCGCCAUAGAUAAUACCUCUAUCUGAAGAUGCUGCAUGUUCAAAUGUUUUGCUUUCAGUUUGGACUAUAAAGUGUUGAUCGAAGCAGUCAGGAUUCUGAUCUCAAAAUGAGUGCAACUUUUCAAAACGUAUCAGUCAGUAUUUUGCAGUUUCUUGCAGUGUAAAUAUGAGAGAACAAAAAGUUAAUAUUUUCAAGGAAUGCCUUCUGUAAAUAUUUCAUAAAAUGCUUUGGUACUGCUUUGUUGUUGUUGUUGUUGUUGUAGUUGAUGAAGCUUUGAAUAAGAUUUCGACAAAUAAAAUAUUUGUAAUUAUUUCUUACACACACUGGCUGUGUGGCUGAAAGUCGACCUGUCAGCAAAUCUUCCAGUUUUUCUCAUAGGCUGAAAUAUCUCCACAACUAUUCGAGGAAUUGCUCUGAAAUUUGGUACAAACAUAAUUGGUUUACAGAGAUAUAUCAUAUUAAUAAAAGCUUGAAGAUAUAUUUAUAUAGCGUCACAGUGAGGUAACUGUGUUUCUGCUUCCAACUCAAUCAGCUGGCAGACAGUCUUAGUUUAAACAGAUUUCUUCCACAACCUCUGUUAGCCUGACAUCUUGUUUCUAUUGAAAUGUGAAGCUGUCCAUGCUCAGCCGUUGUUAACACACAUAGUGUCAUAUUUAAAGUAACUCGUAUGUGGCCCAUUCACCUACAAUCUUCAUUAAAGCCAGUGUACUCAGUUUGUCCUUCCAAUGAGCUCAUGGGAAGCCCCGCUCCACACGUCAAUGGAGGACAUUUCCAAACAUGUUGUUUCAACUCUGAGGAAAGGAUGAUGUAUUGUAGGUUGGCUGUGGCUCAGUUGGUAGAGUCCUCAGCUUUUGACUCCCUUGACUGUAGUAUUUUUGUCAUUUACUUGCCUUUUUACUUUUUUAUUUGACUUCUGUGUUCAUUGUUUUUGCACCAAAACAUCUAGUCAAAUUCAAGUCAAAUUCCUUGUAUGCGUAAACCUACUUGGCAAUAAAUCUGAUUAUGAUUUCUGAUUCUAACUUUCCUAAUUUUGUAUUUGCAGAAUGUAAAUAUAUUUAUUUUAUGACACUUUGAGCAUUUCUUUUCAUCUUUACUGAUUGAGAUAACUUUAAUGAUAAUUUGACUAGCACACUGAACUAAGAUAAUGUAUGUUAUGGUUGUUUCAUUGUAGAAUGUGUGCUUAGUCUUUUUGCUUUAAACACAACAACAUACGGCCUCACACAACUGGUAGCAUGCCUGUAAACUCAAUAAAGAUACAAGUAAAUCAUUCAGAUCAAUGUGAUUCCAUCCCAUCCCAUUUUUUUUUACAAUUGUUAAAGUGUGCUCCACUCUCUACUCUGCACUGUUUGUCUGAUGGGAUUCUGGGAGCAAGGUUGGACAGUUCACACUAACCAAUGAAUACAAAUGAGAGAGAAGUCUUGUACUCCAUUUCCUCCUUUUUUUCACUUUCUCAUUAGAUUUCCAGACAGCAGUCCUGUCCAUCAGCUCACACUGUCUGCAUCAUCACUUCUGUCUGGCUGCUCAAACAUGCUGACUAAACAUUGACAUUUUCAUUUUCAACAUUGACACCUGAGAAAAUUAUGUUUACUCAGGUAAAUCAACUCUGUGUCUGUCUGGUAAUAAAAUGGUUGUAAGAUC